AGCGCUGUUGUUUUUGCAUUGCAGUGAUUAUGAUAAAACAUGUCUAUGAGGGUCAGUUAUGCAGAAUAUUUAUAAAGAUUGAUGAGCACCAGUGUUCACCCACCCUCUGUUCCAGGCAGAGGCGGCUGUUGUGUAACAGGGAAGAAGAUGAGAAGUAAAAACCGCCCAAAAAACAGAAGCUGGAACUAAAUAUUUCAUCCAAGUCUUUGUCCUUAGCAUUCUACUCUUAUAAUGCAAUGAUGAGUAAUGCGCAAGAUUAAGAUUUGUUGGGUUAAAUUUACAACACUAUCUGGGACUGUGCAUGCUUACUGGAAAUUACUGAUCUGUUUAAGAACAAGUGCCCUGCUAAUGCUGCCAACACACUGGUGCCAACCAUCUGUCCUCUGAGAAACGUAGAGGAGGAGGCUACAGCGAUGUAAGAGUGGUGGGUAAAUGAACACUAAUGAAACACAAUACUCGAUCCAUUCAUCAUGACAUUCGGAUGAUAUUAUAUCAACUCUGUGCAUAUGAUCCUGUGACAUCACAUCACCCUAUCUGCCGUUUGAUCCGAAGCUGAAGGUCAGUGAACAUUUAACCAGGUUUUGUGGUUCCAACCUUACCUUAGUGGUUUUCAAAACACUGACCACUACAAAUGCAUCAUUAUACUCUGGCUUUAAUUAAUAGGGUCAUUCCAUAUAUCAGGUCAGUCAGCUGAACCAUUUGCAGUCACCACAGAUGAGCUCAGCCUGCGCUGCUCUGAAGAACACAGAUUCUCAUGACAGCUAUUGCUGGCAUAUAGAACAUUCAACUGCAAUAGCUGCAAUAAACAGUUUAUGAU